rnacentral:rRNA from 1 species
CUACAAAGGAAUUGACGGGGGCCCGCACAAGCGGUGGAGCAUGUGGUUUAAUUCGACGCAACGCGAAGAACCUUACCAGGGCUUGACAUCCCCUGACCGCGUAUGAAAUACGUUUCACCUCGGGUGACAGGGAGACAGGUGGUGCAUGGUUGUCGUCAGCUCGUGUCGUGAGAUGUUGGGUUAAGUCCCGCAACGAGCGCAACCCCUACGUUUAGUUGCUAACGCGUGAAGGCGAGCACUCUAGACGAACUGCCGUUGACAAAACGGAGGAAGGUGGGGAUGACGUCAAAUCAUCAUGCCCCUUAUGUUCUGGGCUACACACGUGCUACAAUGGCCGGUACAGACGGACGCAAAGCCGCGAGGUGGAGCAAAUCCUAAAAAGCCGGUCUCAGUUCGGAUUGCAGGCUGCAAUUCGCCUGCAUGAAGUCGGAAUCGCUAGUAAUCGCAGGUCAGCAUACUGCGGUGAAUACGUUCCCGGGUCUU